rnacentral:rRNA from 1 species
GAUGAACGCUGGCGGCGUGCCUAAUACAUGCAAGUCGAGCGAACAGAUAAGGAGCUUACUCCUUUGACGUUAGCGGCGGACGGGUGAGUAACACGUGGGUAACCUACCUAUAAGACUGGAAUAACUCCGGGAAACCGGGGCUAAUGCCGGAUAACAUUUAGAACCGCAUGGUUCUAAAGUGAAAGAUGGUUUUGCUAUCACUUAUAGAUGGACCCGCGCCGUAUUAGCUAGUUGGUAAGGUAACGGCUUACCAAGGCAACGAUACGUAGCCGACCUGAGAGGGUGAUCGGCCACACUGGAACUGAGACACGGUCCAGACUCCUACGGGAGGCAGCAGUAGGGAAUCUUCCGCAAUGGGCGAAAGCCUGACGGAGCAACGCCGCGUGAGUGAUGAAGGUCUUCGGAUCGUAAAACUCUGUUAUUAGGGAAGAACAAAUGUGUAAGUAACUGUGCACGUCUUGACGGUACCUAAUCAGAAAGCCACGGCUAACUACGUG